GGAUGGCUCUGCGGCUUAUCAGGUUGUAGUGAGGGUAACGUCCUCACUAGCCUAUGACGGGUACGGGCCCUGAGAGGGGAAGCCCGGAGAUGGACUCUGAGACACGAGUCCAGGCCCUACGGGGCGCAGCAGGCGCGAAAACUCCGCAAUGCUCGAAAGAGUGACGGGGGGAUUCCAAGUGCCUACGCUCAGCGUAGGCUGUUCAGAUGCCUAAAAAGCAUCUGGAGUAAGGGCUGGGUAAGACGGGUGCCAUCUGUGGCAGCAGCCGAAAAUUUGGCUUGCUACUGCAAGGCAUAAGCCGCCGCGGUAAUACCCGCAGCUCGAGUGGUAGUCGAUUUUAUUGGGCCUAAAGCGUCCGUAUCCGGUCUGGUAAAUGCUUGGGUAAAUCGUCUGGCUUAACCAGACGAAUUCCGGGUAGACUACCAGACUUGGGACCGGUUGAGGAAGAGGGUACUUCAGGGGUAGGAGUGAAAUCCUGUAAUCCUUGAAGGACCACCAGUGGCGAAGGCGCUCUUCUAGGACGGGUCCGACGGUGAGGGACGAAAGCCAGGGGAGCAAACCGGAUUAGAUACCCGGGUAGUCCUGGCCGUAAACGAUGUGGGCUUGGCAUUGGGGGUUCUACGUGAGCGCCCAGUGUCGUAGCGAAGGCGUUAAGCCCACCGCCUGGGAAGUAUGGUCGC
rnacentral:rRNA from 1 species